rnacentral:rRNA from 1 species
CCUACGGGAGGCAGCAGUGGGGGAUAUUGCACAAUGGGGGGAACCCUGAUGCAGCGACGCCGCGUGGGUGAAGAAGCGCCUCGGCGCGUAAAGCCCUGUCAGCAGGGAAGAAAAUGACGGUACCUGAAGAAGAAGCCCCGGCUAACUACGGGCCAGCAGCCGCGGGAAUACGGAGGGGGCAAGCGUUAUCCGGAUUUACUGGGUGUAAAGGGGGCGCAGACGGCGUUGCAAGCCAGGAGUGAAAGCCCGGGGCCCAACCCCGGGACUGCUCUUGGUACUGCGUGGCUGGAGUGCAGGAGGGGCAGGCGGAAUUCCUGGUGUAGCGGUGAAAUGCGUAGAGAUCAGGAGGAACACCGGUGGCGAAGGCGGCCUGCUGGACUGCAACUGACGUUGAGGCCCGAAAGCGUGGGGAGCAAACAGGAUUAGAUACCCUUGUAGUC